GCGCUACAAAAAAAAUCAUAAGAAAUAGGAGAAUAAAACAAAACGUUAAAGUUAGUAAACAAAUGAUGAUUGAGAUGGACGGACGGCUACGGCUUCAGCUAUCAGGGGUGCAGCCUUUUCUGGCGCCGACUGUCCAGAGGAGCGACCACUGCUCGUAUCAAGGGUACAGUGGAACCAUCUGUAUUGUGUUUGCCAAAUGGACAAGACUAUUAAGCAGAAGGUCAGACGGUUGCGUUCUACGAGUAGACUUGGCUCUCGCUCUCCCGCACUGCCGUACCCCUGCUGUAGUGGGACGCCAGUGUGUUCCUGGAACUCUUGGUUCCGUUAUAAGUGGUUUCAAAUGUACCAACACGCACACAUGCAUGCACAUAUACGAUACAUAACGGGCAGCGGCAGCCCCCUAGAAAUGCCAGCAAACAGAAACAACAAUAACAAGCUGGAAAGACAAGUGCGUCAUUGUUUUUUGUGGUUCGUCUCCCUCCCGUCGCUUUGGUUUGGUUUUGUUUGGUGCGUGAUGUGAUGUGGCUUAUCGUCAGUACAUCCAUAUAAAACAUACAUACUCCAUAGAUACAUACAUGCAUACUUAUUUACGUAGCCCUCGUGCAUACUUUCUACUUGAAUAAAUUCAACAGAAUAUAAUUUGAUUAAACGCAACAGUUGCUGGUAAUUUAAUACACGAGCGAGCAAACGCCUCUGCCUCUGGCUCUGCCUUUGCCUCUGCGGCGCACAUCGGGGCCCAAGCAAAGUAAACAUUAAACGAAAGAAUUAAUUAAGCGUAAAUUUAGACCAGCGCCAAAACAUGUUCCCACGCCGUAAGCAAACAAACAAACAAAACACACACACACACUCAUACAUAUGUACAUAUGUAUGUACAAGCGCAUCGGAAGACGGAGGCUAUCGUAAAUUUCAUUCACAUUUUGCAGUUACAAUAUAAACUGGAAACUUGCUCUCUCUGCGGUUUUAGCUUGUUUGCAUUUCAAUCAAUUUCCGCUUCCCCUGACCGAGGCGGCAGCGGCAUCACAUCAGCCUGCCUGACGCUUAUUAAUGAAUUAUAUUAUGACAAACAAAUUCAGCCACAAACAGGCAUAUACGAACACACACACACAGCCACAGAUAGAGGCACAGAGUAAUUGUACAAAAAUGCCACUGCGAUUCGUUUGGUGCGUUUCCUUUUGUGACUCAGUAUAGUAGGAGAGUUGGCAAAAACAAUUUCCUCCAGUUGGAGAUUGUAAGAAUAUAUCUCUUCUUUUCUGAUGUUUACCGUAAGCUUUGCGGUUUGCACUUUGAUGCACAUUUCACUUCACUUGUAUUCAGGGAGUUGGGGAAACUGCUUAAUAAUAUCCGAACCGAACGGAGUUGGUACAAGAUGAUUCCAAAGGGAAACUUACUGCACGCCAAAUUCGUUUUGUUGGUGGCGACUUAAUUAGCCACCCUUCGUAGAAAGUGCUAUCCAUUUUUCAGCAGUGCAGCAGUG